rnacentral:lncRNA from 1 species
UAUGAAUUAAUAAUUAAAUUAGAAUUUUUAAUUAAUUUAUUCAAAGAACUUGUAACCUUCAAACAGAAUUUGAAAAUAUACAUUAGAUAUGUAGAUAAUCUCCUAACUAUAUGGAAACAACAUAAUGACACUGAGUACUUCAUUAAAUCACUGAGCUCAAAGUAUAGGCCUGAAAUUAAUCUUCGACCAAAAAAGUAAUUCUAGUAUAGACUAUUUAGAUGUCCAGAUAAGAAUAGCAAGGACAAAUUAUAUUACUUUGGUUUACAGGAAACCAACUUAUGUCAAAAGUAUCAUACUGAAGUGAUCAAAUAACCUGAUUAAAUAUAAAGCAACAUUUAGGGCAUAUUUCGAGAGGCUAUUAACACAUUGUUCAACAGAUGAAACAAAAGAGAGAGAAGAAAUUUAUCUUUAAAGAAGGUAAAAGGCAUAGUUAUAAUAAUUUUAUGCAGAAGAUUUAUAUGGAAAUCAUUCAAAAUAUAAUUGAGACCUUACAGACAAGUUACAUAGCGUGCAUCUGUCCUCUGAUCAACAAGAACAACAAAUGUGAUUUAUAUGUAGCCUGCUCUAUGAAGUGGCUACAUAUAAAUCACAUAGAAAGAUAACAGAAAGAACUGAUGGGUAACAUUAGCAUCUGAAAGAAAUAAGAUCUUAUUUUCUGCAGUUAGAAAGAAACAAUAAAAAAAAAAACUAUAAACAACAAAAAUUGGAAGUUUAUAAGAUUCCAUCUUUAAUAGGACUCUAGAUCAGCAAAAGGUAUAUUAGUGU